AGUGAACGUUGGCGGCGUGGAUUAGGCAUGCAAGUCGAGCGAGAACCGUAGCAAUACGGGGGCAGCGGCGAAAGGGACAGUAAUGUGUAGGUACCUACCCCGGGGUCUGGGAUAGCUGCGGGAAACUGCAGGUAAUACCGGAUAAUGUCUUCGGACCAAAGGUGUGAUUCCACCUUGGGAGGGGCCUGCAUCCUAUUAGCUUGUUGGCGGGGUAACGGCCCACCAAGGCAACGAUGGGUAGCGGGUGUGAGAGCACGACCCGCGUCAUUGGGAAUGAGAUACUGCGCAGACGCCUCCGGGUGGCUGCAGUGGAGGAUCUUCGGCAAUGGGCGAAAGCCUGACCGAGCGACGCCGCGUGCGGGAUGAAGGCCUUCGGGUUGUAAACCGCUGUCGUAGAGGAGGAAAUGCAGGGGGGUUCUCCCUUCUGUUUGACCUAUUCUAGGAGGAAGGACGGGCUAAGUUCGUGCCAGCCGCCGCCGUAA
rnacentral:rRNA from 1 species